rnacentral:rRNA from 1 species
CAAGGCUGAGGCGUGAUGACGAGGCACUACGGUGCUGAAGCAACAAAUGCCCUGCUUCCAGGAAAAGCCUCUAAGCAUCAGGUAACAUCAAAUCGUACCCCAAACCGACACAGGUGGUCAGGUAGAGAAUACCAAGGCGCUUGAGAGAACUCGGGUGAAGGAACUAGGCAAAAUGGUGCCGUAACUUCGGGAGAAGGCACGCUGAUAUGUAGGUGAAGCGACUUGCUCGUGGAGCUGAAAUCAGUCGAAGAUACCAGCUGGCUGCAACUGUUUAUUAAAAACACAGCACUGUGCAAACACGAAAGUGGACGUAUACGGUGUGACGCCUGCCCGGUGCCGGAAGGUUAAUUGAUGGGGUUAGCGGUAACGCGAAGCUCUUGAUCGAAGCCCCGGUAAACGGCGGCCGUAACUAUAACGGUCCUAAGGUAGCGAAAUUCCUUGUCGGGUAAGUUCCGACCUGCACGAAUGGCGUAAUGAUGGCCAGGCUGUCUCCACCCGAGACUCAGUGAAAUUGAACUCGCUGUGAAGAUGCAGUGUACCCGCGGCAAGACGGAAAGACCCCGUGAACCUUUACUAUAGCUUGACACUGAACAUUGAGCCUUGAUGUGUAGGAUAGGUGGGAGGCUUUGAAGUGUGGACGCCAGUCUGCAUGGAGCCGACCUUGAAAUACCACCCUUUAAUGUUUGAUGUUCUAACGUGGGCCCCUAAUCGGGGUUGCGGACAGUGUCUGGUGGGUAGUUUGACUGGGGCGGUCUCCUCCUAAAGAGUAACGGAGGAGCACGAAGGUUGGCUAAUCCUGGUCGGACAUCAGGAGGUUAGUGCAAUGGCAUAAGCCAGCUUGACUGCGAGCGUGACGGCGCGAGCAGGUGCGAAAGCAGGUCAUAGUGAUCCGGUGGUUCUGAAUGGAAGGGCCAUCGCUCAACGGAUAAAAGGUACUCCGGGGAUAACAGGCUGAUACCGCCCAAGAGUUCAUAUCGACGGCGGUGUUUGGCACCUCGAUGUCGGCUCAUCACAUCCUGGGGCUGAAGUAGGUCCCAAGGGUAUGGCUGUUCGCCAUUUAAAGUGGUACGCGAGCUGGGUUUAGAACGUCGUGAGACAGUUCGGUCCCUAUCUGCCGUGGGCGCUGGAGAACUGAGGGGGGCUGCUCCUAGUACGAGAGGACCGGAGUGGACGCAUCACUGGUGUUCGGGUUGUCAUGCCAAUGGCACUGCCCGGUAGCUAAAUGCGGAAGAGAUAAGUGCUGAAAGCAUCUAAGCACGAAACUUGCCCCGAGAUGAGUUCUCCCUGAGACUUAGAGUCUCCUGAAGGAACGUUGAAGACGACGACGUUGAUAGGCCGGGUGUGUAAGCGCAGCGAUGCGUUGAGCUAACCGGUACUAAUGAACCGUGAGGCUUAACCUUACAACGCCGAAG